rnacentral:rRNA from 1 species
UACGAAGGGUGCAAACGUUGCUCGGAAUUAUUGGGCGUAAAGCGCACGUAGGCGGCUUGGCAAGUCGGAUGUGAAAUCCCUCGGCUCAACCAAGGAAGUGCAUCCGAAACUGCUGAGCUUGAGUACUUAUGAGGAUCGCGGAAUUCCCGGUGUAGAGGUGAAAUUCGUAGAUAUCGGGAGGAACACCAGUGGCGAAGGCGGCGAUCUGGGAAGAUACUGACGCUGAGGAGCGAAAGCGUGGGGAGCGAACAGG